rnacentral:rRNA from 1 species
CACAGGUGCUGCAUGGCUGUCGUCAGCUCGUGUCGUGAGAUGUUGGGUUAAGUCCCGCAACGAGCGCAACCCUUAUCCCCAGUUGCCAUCAGGUAAGCUGGGAACUCUGGGAGACUGCCGGUGAUAACCGGAGGAAGGCGGGGAUGACGUCAAGUCCUCAUGCCCCUUAUGACCUGGGCUACACACGUGCUACAAUGGUUGGUACAACGAGUUGCGAGUCGGUGACGGCGAGCUAAUCUCUUAAAGCCAAUCUCAGUUCGGAUUGUAGGCUGCAACUCGCCUACAUGAAGUCGGAAUCGCUAGUAAUCGCGGAUCAGCACGCCGCGGUGAGUACGUUCCCGGGCCUU